UGUAUUAUAGUAUAACUCGUACAUAGAAAUUUGAAUUCUAAAGGUAUAAUACAAACACAA
rnacentral:tRNA from 1 species